UACCAGCACCCCGAGUGGUCGGGACGUUUAUUGGGCCUAAAGCAUCCGUAGCCGGUUCUACAAGUCUUCCGUUAAAUCCAGCUGCUUAACAGAUGGGCUGCGGAAGAUACUAUGGAGCUAGGAGGCGGGAGAGGCAAGCGGUACUCGAUGGGUAGGGGUAAAAUCCGUUGAUCCAUUGAAGACCACCAGUGGCGAAGGCGGCUCACUGGCUCAUUACUGACGCUCAGGCGCGACAGCGUGGGGAUCAAACAGG
rnacentral:rRNA from 1 species